UACGUAGGGUGCGAGCGUUGUCCGAAAUUAUUGGGCGUAAAGAGCUCGUAGGCGGUUUGUUGCGUCGGCCGUGAAAACCUGCAGCUUAACUGUGGGCGUGCGGUCGAUACGGGCAUCACUGGAGUUCGGCAGGGGAGACUGGAAUUCCUGGUGUAGCGGUGAAAUGCGCAGAUAUCAGGAGGAACACCGGUGGCGAAGGCGGGUCUCUGGGCCGAUACUGACGCUGAGGAGCGAAAGCGUGGGGAGCAAACAGG
rnacentral:rRNA from 1 species